UAUAUUUUUGCAGGCUCUAUUCAAGCCUUGACUUCCUUCCUGAAGAAAAUCUCCAGGACCAAGAUGAGGUGCCGGGAACUUCUGGCUCCUCAGUUCCGUCAAGUCGCUCAGCAACACCAGCAGCUGCUGCAACUGAAAGGUAAAGAACUUAUAAUAUAGGCAUACAAGACUGCAAUCACUGAAAUGCCUUGCAACCUGUACAAACAUGGCAUUUACACACUCAUUUUUACAGCCAACCAACAGAAGAUGACUUAGAGUCUGACACAGAUAGGACUCCAAGGCGGAAAAAAGCACGGCGGUCACCAAGGAAACAACAGAGGUAAAUCAAGAAUGAUUACAUAAUACACGACUACUAAAAAAACUGUUUCAACUUGCAGCCCACUGAAAGCCCCUCAGCAUGCUGCUGUAACUGCUGCCUGUAUGGAGCACCUCCAGGCGGUGCGGACUGAGAGGCAGCAGAAGCAACAACUGCAGCGGGAGCCACAAGAUGUCGUAUACCAUACGUGCAUGGCACUUGCCGCACAGCUGCGAAUGCUUGGUCCGAGAGACCAGUCAGAGGCGAUAUUCGAAAUUCAAACAAUGAUGUAUCACCGACUCCAAGGAGCCAUGAAUGAACAAAAUUCUCACUAAUGUUUUAUAUGCUUACUUCAUCCACACAUAUUUCUUCUACUUUGCUGCACCACUGUAACACUAUACUUUUUACUUCUGUUUACCUGUUAUGCAUCUUGUUUGUUUCUUUUUUCUCUUACUUGAUUUAGACUGUAUCGUCCAUUGCUUCAUGCUUUUUAUCUGUAAUCAUGUGUUCAAAUGUUAUUUAUUAUGAGCUGAACUUCUCCCUUUUUGUAUUGCUUUUACAAACGCACUGUUAAUAACAUCGCCUUCACACAAUGCUCAGGGGCCUGUAAGGUAUCUUAAAUAAACAAACAUUUUGGAUGGCAUUUCUUCCUUUGGCAUUUCUCGCUUGGCCCAUUUUCAGAUUUACUGAUAUAUGGAAUAUGUCAGGAAAUACGGUUUGUGCAGUACUGAAAGGGUGUGGUAUUCA
rnacentral:lncRNA from 1 species